ensembl:lncRNA
UGAUAAUGACUGAUAAUCACCCGCGUGAUCCACGUGUUGACAGAGCCAGGCAUGCGAUAAUAUCACAUAGCUAACUUGCACAUUUCCUCUGAUUCACUUUCCCGUUGUUGUUAAGGGCACUGCACACUGCAGAACAGAAGCACGCUGUCGUUUUGUUAGACCUGCUCCUAAAUGAGAUGCUUGUGAUCAGAAGGAAACAGUUGGAAAUAAUUUGAUACAACGGGGGAGUGGUCUGAAUCUCACUGUCCGUUAUUGGCGUGGUAAAAAGACAGACACACUUUGGAGUUCACUGCUGGGACGUCUGGCAGUUCUUUCAUCCACAGUGCAGGCUGUGUGGCUCGGCGCUCUGCCCGAUGCCCUCUCUGUCCUCUCUCCUCUGCUCACGCUCGUGUCUCCGCUCCUGAACAGCUGGCCAAAGGACUGAUUGUGUCUUACCUGUGAAGGAAAGAGCAAGCAGACUCACUUCCUAGCCAAACGGAGGAGCGUUUGCCCAGGAAAUAUUCUGCACUCUCUGGCA